rnacentral:rRNA from 1 species
CGGCGGACGGGUGAGUAAUGCCUAGGAAUCUGCCUGGUAGUGGGGGACAACGUUUCGAAAGGAACGCUAAUACCGCAUACGUCCCACGGGAGAAAGUGGGGGAUCUUCGGACCUCACGCUAUCAGAUGAGCCUAGGUCGGAUUAGCUAGUUGGUGGGGUAACGGCUCACCAAGGCGACGAUCCGUAACUGGUCUGAGAGGAUGAUCAGUCACACUGGAACUGAGACACGGUCCAG